rnacentral:lncRNA from 1 species
AUUGACUUCCACAGGCUCUUCAAGAGUCUAUGACAAGCACAGCCCUGUGCUCGAGGACAGGGUUGGCUGAAUGUUAGGAUAGUUAAAUUCUUCAGUUAAUAAUCAUACUCAAAGGAUAAUAGAUCAGGGUUAUCCUGGAGAAGGUUUCUUGGGUGCAGUGGUGCAUGCUUGAAGUCCCAGAUCCUUGGGAGGCUGAGGCAAGAGGAUCGCUUGAGCCCAGGAAUUUGAGACCAACAUGGGCAACACCGGGAGACCCAUUCUCAAAACCAAAAACCACUGCAAGUAGCUUGGGUGUAGAUCUGUUUAUUAAAUUUGCACGGGUGCAUGGGACACAAUUGGAUGGCUAGCGUCUAUUUGGAAUUGUCUGACAAGGAUUUUCAAAAAGUUGCAUGGUGAAAUUUCACAGGGUUUAUAGACUAUGGCUCUGUCUUUGAGCCCCUCAGUUGUGUUAAGUGCAGGAGAAAGAUAAUGGCUUAGCAGAAAUAGGGGGGUUCAGAGAUGGGUGGAGACCUUCAGGGCACCUUGCUGCUUUAGUUCGCUGGAGCAGGUGAUGCAGGAAAGGAGGCAUGAGGAUGUGGCUGGCCAGGUUUACGGGGGUCAGGUGGUGAGAGCCUCGAAAGCUGUGCUCAGGAACUUGGGCCGUGUUCUAAGUGGCAGGCAUUCCUUUACAGUUCAUCCUUGAGGGAAGUGACUCCUCUUUUUGACCAGCUUUGGCAGGCUGUGGAGGAGAGUUGGACCUGGGAGAGCAGAGAGGAGAUUUACACAGGUCCACGUGGAGGCUGGUGCAGUCUGGCUUCGGGGCAAGAGGAGCCCCUUUAAGGAGCGUGAAGAGGACUUGGAGAAGGCCAUGUCCCAGAAAAGAACUUCAAACAGGAGGCAGAAAACAUAGAAAACAUCGUGCUGUUGAGAAAUGUCCAUUGGAUCUGGGGAAGAGUAAGACCUCGUGAAGGAAGGAGAGAAGAUGGUGCGGUGAGGUGCCGGCCCUGCUCCGCCGCCACUCACACCUCAGCACAGGGACUGUGGCAACCCAGGCGCCUGCCCUACUUGGUUCCUGAAUGGAUGGCAGAUAAGAAAAGAAACCUCUUGCUGAAAUGCUGAAACUUCCUCUGCUUAUGAGAUUAAAAAAACUGGCUGAAAUCAGUUGGAAUCCAUAUGGCCAGCUGGAGUCUAUGCAGAAUGAGCCCGCUGACCUCACAGCCUUUCCACUGCACCUUUCACACUAGCGCCCCCCAAAUUUGCACCUAUGACCCAUGAAGAGGCAUGAAGAUACCACUGUGGAGGCCCGAGGACUUUCCAGACCUUUCCUUCCCUUCCACUAAUCACCUAUUCAUCUCAGAAUCCACCCGCUAAACAUUUUUUUUUUUUUUUUGAGACGGGAGUCUCGCUCUGUCGCCCAGGCUGGAGUGCAGUGGUGCGAUCUCCGCUCACUGCAAGCUCCGCCUGCCGGGUUCACGCCAUUCUCCUGCGUCAGCCUCCCGAGUAGCUGGGAAUACAGGCGUCUGCCACCACUAAUUUUUUUGUAUUUUUUAGUAGAGAUGGGGUUUCACCGUGUUAGCCAGGAUGGUCUCGAUCUCAUGACCUCGUGAUCCGCCCGCCUUGGCCUCGGAAAGUGCUGGGAUUACAGGCGUGAGCCACCGCGCCCGGCUUAAACAUUUUCUAAUGAAGACACUGCCUUAAAGCUGGCACAGAAAGAUUUGAGCUGGACUUCUGUCUCCUUGUUGGUCGAACUGCGAUAACAAGCUUUCGUUUUCUCAAAAACCUGGUGCCAUAGUAUCGGCUUCUAGUGCAUGGGGCAGCGAGCCCUUUCACUCGGUAACACUGCGUCAGGAACUGGCAUGCAUUUUGGUGGUCUCACAACCCCAGCUCUGCCCCCCAGCACAUCUCGUUGAGAGGUGACAGCGUGCCGGCAGCUCUCGGCGCCUCCUCGGCCUUGGCGCCCACUCUGGCCUUGCUUGAGAAGCCCUUCAGCCCGCCGCUGCACUGCGGGAGCCCCUUUCUGCGCUGGCCAAGGCCGGAGCCGGCACCCUCAGCUUGCGGGGAGGUGUGGAGGGAGAGGCGCGAGCGGGAACAGGGGCUGCGCGCGGUGCUUGCUGGCCAGCGUGAGUUCCGGGUG